rnacentral:tRNA from 1 species
GCUGAUAUAGCUCAGGUGGUAGAGCGCAUCCUUGGUAAGGAUGAGGUCCCCAGUUCGACUCUGGGUAUCAGCACCA